rnacentral:rRNA from 1 species
UACGUGGGGGGCAAGCGUUGUUCGGAAUUACUGGGCGUAAAGGGCUCGUAGGCGGCCAACUAAGUCAGACGUGAAAUCCCUCGGCUUAACCGGGGAACUGCGUCUGAUACUGGAUGGCUUGAGUUUGGGAGAGGGAUGCGGAAUUCCAGGUGUAGCGGUGAAAUGCGUAGAUAUCUGGAGGAACACCGGUGGCGAAGGCGGCAUCCUGGACCAACACUGACGCUGAGGAGCGAAAGCCAGGGGAGCAAACGGG